rnacentral:lncRNA from 1 species
CUCACACCCAAAUCCUUCUUACCUCAUUCAUUUUUUUUGGCAGCAGCGACAGAAUCACACAAGUCUAGCUUUCUCAAGGUUUCCAUGGUGCUGGUGGAGGUGGUGGAGUAGGGAACAAAGGAGGAACAGCUGAGAAAAUAGUGUUUUUGUCUAUCUUACCGGUGGCUUCUUCUUCACCCGAUAAUGCCACAAGAGCUGCGACUAGACCAGCAUUGCCUGCAAG